rnacentral:sRNA from 1 species
GCCAGGUGCAGUCUUGUGCACCUGUAAUGCAUGCACUUGCAGACCCAAAUAUCCAGGAGGCUGAGAUAGGAUGAUGGGUUGAGUCCAGGAGUUCAGAGUCAGGCUGGGCAAUAUAAUGAGACCCUGUUUCUU